rnacentral:rRNA from 1 species
UACGGGGGGAGCAAGCGUUGUUCGGAUUUACUGGGCGUAAAGGGCGCGUAGGCGGCCAGCACAAGUCAGUUGUGAAAUCUCCGGGCUUAACUCGGAAAGGUCAACUGAUACUGUGCGGCUAGAGUGCAGAAGGGGCAACUGGAAUUCUCGGUGUAGCGGUGAAAUGCGUAGAUAUCGAGAGGAACACCUGCGGCGAAAGCGGGUUGCUGGGCUGACACUGACGCUGAUGCGCGAAAGCCAGGGGAGCGAACGGG